rnacentral:rRNA from 1 species
UACGUAGGGUGCGAGCGUUUAAUCGGAAUUACUGGGCGUAAAGCGUGCGCAGGCGGUUUUGUAAGCCAGAUGUGAAAUCCCCGGGCUUAACCUGGGAAUGGCAUUUGGGACUGCAAGGCUGGAGUGCGGCAGAGGAGACUGGAAUUCCUGGUGUAGCAGUGAAAUGCGUAGAUAUCAGGAGGAAUACCGAUGGCGAAGGCAGGUCUCUGGGCUGACACUGACGCUCAUGCACGAAAGCGUGGGG